rnacentral:rRNA from 1 species
CUACGGGAUGCUCCAGUGGGGGAUAUUGCACAAUGGGGGAAACCCUGAUGCAGCAACGCCGCGUGAAGGAAGACGGUUUUCGGAUUGUAAACUUCUAUCAGCAGGGAAGAAAAUGACGGUACCUGACUAAGAAGCCCCGGCUAACUACGUGCCAGCAGCCGCGGUAAUACGUAGGGGGCAAGCGUUAUCCGGAAUUACUGGGUGUAAAGGGUACGUAGGCGGCUGAUCAAGUCAGAUGUGAAAGCCCGGAGCUCAACUCCGGGACUGCAUUUGAAACUGGUCGGCUAGAGUGCGGGAGAGGAAAGUGGAAUUCCUAGUGUAGCGGUGAAAUGCGUAGAUAUUAGGAAGAACACCAGUGGCGAAGGCGGCUUUCUGGACUGUAACUGACGCUGAGGUACGAAAGCGUGGGGAGCGAACAGGAUUAGAUACCCCGGUAGUC